AACGAACGCUGGCGGCAUGCUUAACACAUGCAAGUCGAACGCUCAUUCGGGCUUCGGUUCGGGUGAGAGUGGCGCACGGGUGAGUAGCGCGUGGGAACCUGCCCUCUUGUGGGGGAUAAC
rnacentral:rRNA from 1 species